rnacentral:rRNA from 1 species
AUUGCACGCUGGCGGCAUGCCUUACACAUGCAAGUCGAACGGUAACAGGUCUUCGGAUGCUGCCGAGUGGCGAAGGGGUGGGUAAUACAUGGGAACGUGCCUAGUAGUGGGGGAUAACUACUCGAUAGAGUGGCUAAUACAGCAUGAAAUCUACGGAUGAAUGCAGGGUAUCGCAAGACGUUGUGCUACUAGAGCGGCGGAUGGCGGAUUAGGUAGUUGGUGGGAUAAAGGCUUACCAAGGCGACGAUCUGUAGCUGGUCUGAGAGGAUGAUCAGUCACACUGGAACUGAGACACGGCCCAGACUCCUACGGGAGGCAGCAGUGGGGAAUAUUGGACAAUGGGCGCAAGCCUGAUCCAGCAAUGCCGCGUGCAGGAUGAAGGCCUUCGGGUUGUAAACUGCUUUUGGACGGAACGAAAAGCCGUUGGUUAAUACCCUGGGGUCAUGACGGUACCGUAAGAAUAAGCACCGGCUAACUACGUGCCAGCCGCCGCCGUAA